rnacentral:tRNA from 1 species
CCCCUGGUGGCCCAAUCGGCAGAGGCACGCGACUUAAAAUCGCCGAGUUGCGGGUUCGAAUCCCGCCCGGGGGA